AAAUUGUUUCUUAAUGCUCCCAACAUCUUCCCUUCAGUAUUGUUUUUGUUUGUAAAUCUACAUAUACAUUUUUGCAGCCAUUUUGUGAAAUAAAUCCUGGAGUUGAGACUUAUUUACAAUGGCUGCCACUCACAUUUAUUAUUUAGUUUUACAAAAUUUUAAAAGAUAUUAACCAAACGAUAUCUUGCUUAAUUUGUUUCUAAAAAUCUCUACACAAUCUUUUCAUAUAUUUUCAAAAACAAAAUUCCGUGAAUUUUACUCCACAAAUAUGCAUAAAUUCGAUU
rnacentral:sRNA from 1 species